AUGCAAAUAGCGGGAAGAACAAAGGAAGGGGGGCCCGGGACCCCCGGGGGCGCAGGAUCCGGCGGGAGGAGUCUGCGAGGAGGAGGCGGAGGACGAGGAGGAGGAGGGAGGGAGGAGAGAGGAAGACCGGAGUCCCCGCGGCGGCGGCGGGGAGCCCCGCGCGGCUCCCGGGGACCGGGCGCUGCCACGAGGCCGGGACGCUGGACGCUGGGGAAUCUUCGCUCACGCUGCUACCCUCACGCCAGCUGCCAGCUCCUCGGAGGAGGACCACACCUGUGCCUGUUCCCGCUUUGGAGGAGAGGUGUCAGGAGUCUAGCUGGCUCUGCGCAAAGAGUCCGCUGCUGGGUUUUGGUGUGUGGCCAGAAACGCAUGCGACACUUAUUCCAGGGCUCUGGCCCUCUGCAAGGUGGGAUUCCUGGCACCGGAAGAUGGAGUGAUAAAGGAGCGUCUCUUUACGUCCAGAUGUUUUGUUUCAGUGUCUGA
rnacentral:lncRNA from 1 species